AUACGGAGGGUGCGAGCGUUAAUCGGAAUUACUGGGCGUAAAGCGUGCGUAGGCGGUUUGCUAAGUCGGAUGUGAAAGCCCCGGGCUUAACCUGGGAACUGCAUUUGAUACUGGCAGACUAGAGUAUGAUAGAGGGGGGUAGAAUUCCUGGUGUAGCGGUGAAAUGCGUAGAUAUCAGGAGGAAUACCAGUGGCGAAGGCGGCCCCCUGGAUCAAUACUGACGCUGAGGUACGAAAGCGUGGGGAGCGAACAGGAUUAGAAACCCUAGUAGUCC
rnacentral:rRNA from 1 species